rnacentral:rRNA from 1 species
UUCCGGUUGAUCCCGCCGGACCUGACUGCUAUCGGAUUGAUACUAAGCCAUGCGAGUCAUUGUAGUAAUACAAGGCAGACGGCUCAGUAACGCGUAGUCAACCUAACCUAUGGACGGGAAUAACCUCGGGAAACUGAGUAUAAUGCCCGAUAGAACAUUAUGCCUGGAAUGGUUUAUGUUCCAAAUGAUUUAUCGCCGUAGGAUGGGACUGCGGCCUAUCAGUUUGUUGGUGAGGUAAUGGCCCACCAAGACUAUUACAGGUACGGGCUCUGAGAGGAGUAGCCCGGAGAUGGGUACUGAGACACGGACCCAGGCCCUAUGGGGCGCAGCAGGCGAGAAAACUUUGCAAUGUGCGAAAGCACGACAAGGUUAAUCCGAGUGGUUUCUGCUAAAGGAACCUUUUGACAGUCCUAGAAACACUGUUGAAUAAGGGGUGGGCAAGUUCUGGUGUCAGCCGCCGCGGUAAAACCAGCACCUCAAGUGGUCAGGAUGAUUAUUGGGCCUAAAGCAUCCGUAGCCGGCUCUGUAAGUUUUCGGUUAAAUCUGUACGCUCAACGUACAGGCUGCCGGGAAUACUGCAGAGCUAGGGAGUGGGAGAGGUAGACGGUACUCGGUAGGAAGGGGUAAAAUCCUUUGAUCUAUUGAUGACCACCUGUGGCGAAGGCGGUCUACCAGAACACGUCCGACGGUGAGGGGUGAAAGCUGGGGGAGCAAACCGGAUUAGAUACCCGGGUAGUCCCAGCUGUAAACCAUGCAAACUCAGUGAUGCAUUGGCUUGUGGCCAAUGCAGUGCUGCAGGGAAGCCGUUAAGUUUGCCGCCUGGGAAGUACGUACGCAAGUAUGAAACUUAAAGGAAUUGGCGGGGCAGCAC